rnacentral:rRNA from 1 species
GGGAGCUGUAAGCAAGCUUUGAUCCGGAGAUUUCCGAAUGGGGAAACCCACCACUCGUAAUGGAGUGGUAUCCAUAUCUGAAUUCAUAGGAUAUGAGAAGGCAGACCCGGGGAACUGAAACAUCUAAGUACCCGGAGGAAGAGAAAGCAAAUGCGAUUCCCUGAGUAGCGGCGAGCGAAACGGGAUUAGCCCAAACCAAGAGGCUUGCCUCUUGGGGUUGUAGGACACUCUGUACGGAGUUACAAAGGAACGAGGUAGAUGAAGAGGUCUGGAAAGGCCCGCCAUAGGAGGUAACAGCCCUGUAGUCAAAACUUCGUUCUCUCCUGAG